rnacentral:rRNA from 1 species
AGUGAUCAUUGGCGGCAGGCUUAACACAUGCAAGUCGAGCGAGGCUAAUAGCCUAGUGGCGAACGGUUGAGUAAUACUCGGGAAUCUACCCCGGAGUUUGGGACAACGUUCAUAAAUGGACGCAUAUACCACAUAAACCAUAUUGGUAAAGCGUGAAGCGCUCUGGGAUGAGCCCAUGUCUGAUUAGCUAGUUGGUGGGGUAAAGGCCGACCAAGGCGACGAUGAGUAGCUGGUCUGAGAGGAUGAUCAGCAACACUGGAACGGAGGAACGGUACAGACUCCUACGGGAGGCAGCAGUGGGGAAUAUUGGACAAUGGGGGAAACCCUGAUCCAGCCAUGCCGAGUGUGCGAUGAAGGCCCUAGGGUUGUAAAGCACUUUUGGCGGGGACGACGAUGACGGUACCCGCAGAAUAAGUCACGGCUAACUUCGUGCCAGCCGCCGCCGUAA